CACCUGAGUCAGACAUCGUAGAAGGACCAUUUUUGCAUCAAAUUGGAUUUCACUUAAUUAUUUAGGAUUUUUGGAACACAAGCAGAGCGUUACUCAAAUCAAAUUGAAUGAAUCAAAAGUAAUAAAUACUA